UAGGGAAUCUUCCGCAAUGGGCGAAAGCCUGACGGAGCAACGCCGCGUGAGUGAAGAAGGUCUUCGGAUCGUAAAACUCUGUUAUUAGGGAAGAACAAAUGUGUAAGUAACUAUGCACGUCUUGACGGUACCUAAUCAGAAAGCCACGGCUAACUACGUGCCAGCAGCCGCGGUAAUACGUAGGUGGCAAGCGUUAUCCGGAAUUAUUGGGCGUAAAGCGCGCGUAGGCGGUUUUUUAAGUCUGAUGUGAAAGCCCACGGCUCAACCGUGGAGGGUCAUUGGAAACUGGAAAACUUGAGUGCAGAAGAGGAAAGUGGAAUUCCAUGUGUAGCGGUGAAAUGCGCAGAGAUAUGGAGGAACACCAGUGGCGAAGGCGACUUUCUGGUCUGUAACUGACGCUGAUGUGCGAAAGCGUGGGGAUCCAGGAUUAGAUACCCUGGUAGUCCACGCCGUAACGAUGAGUGCUAGGUGUUAGACCCUUUCCGGGGUUUAGUGCCGUAGCUAACGCAUUAAGCACUCCGCCUGGGGAGUACGACCGCAAGUG
rnacentral:rRNA from 1 species